AAAUUAUGGUGUGGACACCUAUGAAGUAAAUCUUUAAAUCUUUCCCAACACUCGAAGAAAUGUUCACCAUCUUUUUGUGUAAAAUUAGUAAUUUCUCUGCGAAGGGC